GUCCAAAUGGCGUCAUUGGGUAGUGUGACUGUGGACGAUUUAAAAACAAAACGAUUUUCUCUAAAUAUUCUAUGAGCAGUAUUUUUACACUGGAUAAAAAAGGGGAGAGUCGGUUAUUGGCAGAGGGGGGAGGGACUAGACAGCAGGCGUAUUGCAUUCCACGAAGCUGAUUUAAUAAGUGCUGUCUGUGAUGUUUGGCAAGCCUGGUUUAUAUCCAUCUACAAGGUUUGCGAACCCAUGUUGCCGAUUUUUUUUUUCUGCUACAGAACAACUACCUUGGUACAAUAAAAAAGACGAGUAUUUACUUUUCAUUGAAAGGAGAUAUUUUUGCUUGAAAAAAUGCAUAUGUAAAUUUAAAGACACUACAAGUUUUCAAGGACUGUGGUGAUAUGAAGAUAGAACAUGAGGUAGAUUGCUUUAGCACCUAUGCAUAAGGAUAUAAAACCAGCAAGACUUAUUUGAUGAGACAAUGGAAAGGGCACAUUUAAGAGAUGCUUUGGAGAAAAUCAGUUUUACUAGGUUUCUAAUUUAAUAUGGGAUUAAGAUAAGGAGACUGAAGACAACACUGAAGUUGUGAGAAACAUGGGAAAAUAUAGGUACCACUAAUAGGUAUAGGAAAAUUGAGAAAUAAAAUAAGAGAUGGAAGAGUUACCUUUUGCCAGGAGGAAUAUAAGAGGUAACCAACUGUAUGAGAUGAAAACUGGAAAAAAAAAAAAAAGGCUUAGAAGUCAGGGCUGGAGAUAUAGAUUUAGGUGUAAAGAGUGUUAGUAUAGAAGUAGAAAUUACGAAAAUCGGUGCAUACGGUGAGCCUAAUAAAGCUAAGUAAGGACUUAAGAAAAUCCACUAAAUUGUUUUUAUUUACUAUAUCC
rnacentral:lncRNA from 1 species